UACGUAGGGUGCAAGCGUUAAUCGGAAUUACUGGGCGUAAAGCGUGCGCAGGCGGUCUUGUAAGACAGAGGUGAAAUCCCCGGGCUCAACCUGGGAACUGCCUUUGUGACUGCAAGGCUGGAGUACGGCAGAGGGGGAUGGAAUUCCGCGUGUAGCAGUGAAAUGCGUAGAUAUGCGGAGGAACACCGAUGGCGAAGGCAAUCCCCUGGGCCUGUACUGACGCUCAUGCACGAAAGCGUGGGGAGCAAACAGG
rnacentral:rRNA from 1 species